ensembl:lncRNA
AUGUACAUUCAGUGGGUGAUGCUGCAUCUGUGGGAGGGGACGUUGGCGAGGCCGAAGGGGAAAAAAGUCGAUGGCGCAUCAAUCAGCUCGAGCUUCUUCCACAGUUUGAACAGCUAUAGUUUUGCUUUUGGUCGUCCUAAAGGACAGAUCCUGAGAAACAGCUGGAAUGGGGNNNNNNNNNNNNNNNNNNNNNNNNNNNNNNNNNNNNNNNNNNNNNNNNNNNNNNNNNNNNNNNNNNNNNNNNNNNNNNNNNNNNNNNNNNNNNNNNNNNGCUGGAAUGGGGAUGGAGAUUUGAAAUUGGAACACAAAAGGAACAUACUCAAGCUCUGAUUAGUGACUCUUCGGUGAGGCAGCAUGUGUAUUUUCCAGAGAUUAGUUCUUUGGAAUUCUAAGGAAUGCAGCCACCUUUGAGACAGUUCAGUGCUACAAUAAAGCAAAAAGGUCAAUCCAUAAACUCUGUAAGGAUGUGUUAAUAUAAGUACACUCUGUGUUGUUGAGUGACUAUCACAUCAAAGUUUCAUAACAUUUUAAAGUCUAACUCUUAGUGCUGGAAAUGUAAAUGGAAGUUACAUAUUAAAUAAGAUAUAAAUUUAUGCAAAUAAUGAGAAUGUGAAAUUGAGAAGGUAUGUACAAAAUUUUAAACUGUGUUGUUAGAUAUCACUGCUGUAUAUACUAAGUCAACACAACUGUGUGGCAAGAGGAAUAAAACAAACAUAUAAAUCUGUAACAUUGUAAAUUUGAAGCCCUUUGGAAAGAGUCUCAUAUUGUGUUAUAUGGAGCUCACGCAAAUAUAUGUCAGGAUGCCAGUUUUAUGGAGACGUGGAAGAAUAAGCACAACUCCAUAUAUCAUCACUCACCAGUUGCGAAGAGGUCGUAAUUCUGGUUAUCAAAAUAAGUGAAUAUUCCAGCUGCAAGACUGUGAUCCUUGCAAGCUAUUUACUAACAAAUUACAUUUGGGGCUAUAAAGACAAAAGUGAGUUCUCCUAAAUCUUGCAAAUCAACUGCAAGAUUUUCUAAGACCAAAUAUAGCUCAUCGCUUGGGGCAAAGUUUGCUUUUUACAACAAAAAACUGUCACCACAACUCACCUUUUUCCUGUAAGAAAAAUGUACAGUAUUUAUUGUGAAUAAAUGUAGUAUUGUUCUCUUCAUGUAUUACCCGAAGAAAUCUAACAAAGAAAAAAAUGUUUCAGAAGAUAGUGACCUGAGUAAUUUUUGUUUCUAUCAUGCUCUGGUGUCUUUGAAAUUUCUGACAGGUGAUAUUUCAUUAUUUAUGUUAAUGAAAGCAAAUGAAAUUCACGUAUAGUCUAAAAAUAACAUUUUAGCUCUUCAUUUUGGGCUUCCUAUAAUCAAAAUCCUUUAGUAGUAAUAAGUCAUAAGAUUGGAUGAAUUAAGUUUCUAACCUACUCCUUUAACCUUGAUAUCUCAGUUUAUGGUGAGAAAUGAAUAAGCUGCAGACAGUUAAUAGGAGUGAGAGAAACAUCUGAGAGAUUGCUCCUUUUAGUGUGUGUUCAGCCUUUAACUGGAUAUUGCUGCUUCUGCUAAGUCGCUUCAGUCGUGUCCGACUCUGCAACCUUAUGGAUUAUAACCCACCAGAACUCCUCUGUCCUUAGGAUUCUCCAGGCAGGAAUACUGCAGUGGGUUGCCAUGCCCUCUUCCAGGGGAUCUUCCUAACCCAGGGAUCUAACUUGUGUCUCCUCUGGCUCCUGCAUUGCAGGUGGGUUCUUUACCUCUGAGCCACUGGGGAAGCCCAUUGACCCCAUGGUUACAGCCAAAGCCAUAUUCACAUUUUAAUAUUGUGUCUUUCUGAAGUCGAGAUCAAAGAUAUUCAAAGUUUUAUUCAGAGGUUUUAAGUUCAUGUUCACAAGUUGUCUGUGAACUUGUUUCAUCUACAGCUUUUCAGAAUGAUGAAUGAUUGAGCCAGUGGGAUAUAUUAUUGUGACUAUGAUUUCUAGAUUCUUCCAAUAAUAAAGAAUAGAAGCCAUCAAGAAGUACUUUUCACUGAAAUGUUACAGAAAGUAGUGUUCCUCAUGCUGUGAACUGAAGAUUGCCUAUAACAUAAUCACCUGUAGAGUGAUUCUUUACUAUUUCAGGAGAUAACUGAAUUCGUAGAUGUGGUGUGAUGCCCAGCAGUAUGCAUUGUUACUAACUUCUCAAAUAGUGCUUUAUAUACUGUGGUUUAAGAGCCCCUAAUGGAUGUGAGAAUUGGACUAUAAGAAGGCUGAGCGCCGCAGAAUUGAUGCUUUUGAACAGUGGUGUUGGAGAAGACUCUUGAGAGUACCUUGGACUGCAAGGAAAUCCA